CGGACCUUCCCUUGUGCGGGACGUCCUCUGCCCUAGUGUCCAGUCCGGGACGCCCUGCGGGCGGGGGAGAGGGGAAGAGGCUGGGAGCCACCCCGCCCCCGUUCUUGAACACAGGCGGUUAUUGAAAGGCAGUUCAGAGAGGCUUUGUCUCCAACGGUGCCCACAAGCCUGGAUACUGGCAGCUGCACUGGCUCCCUGAGAUGGCCCUUCCCCCUCUGGGUGGACAGCGCUCACACCAUGGCCUCACCAGCAUGAAUGGCAGGUCCAUGGAUGGGGCCUGUCAGUUAAACAGUCUUCACAGUGAAAACCCUUUUCUUCAGGGAGCAAGUCUGCAAAAUCACUGCACUACCAGGAAAGUAUGAGAAAGGCCACGGUUAAUUACAGGGGAAAAAUUCAGUCCGUGAACUCAUCUCAUUGUACAGACAAGAAAACUGAACUGGAAGAAGUUAAUUCUCCCAGCUCACACUGCUGUUGGACUUUCUGACUUCAAAGCUCAGGCCCUUGGGCUCCAUAACCUGUCCUACUUUAUUCAAGUCUCAAAUGCUUAGGGUUGUGUAUUUCUGAGCAUGUACUCCAGGAAACUUCAAUGCCCAUCCUUAUCCCUAGUAGGAUGGGGUGAGAGGGUAGCCAGAAUGUCUGGAAUUGGGGAAACCAGGAGGAGGAGAAGGGCCGGGAUCAUACCUGUGAUCCAAUUUGGGCUGGCCUGGGGCUGUGCUCUGAGUGCUCUACCAAGUCACACCUCUCCUGGGUUGCAUGACCAGUUCUGGGUCCCCCCAUCUCCUUCCAUGCUUCUCCUCAUGGAGCCUGAGAUCCAGCCUGAACUUUGCUGAGCUCUUCCUGACCAUCCUUGGCCCGGGACCCUGGGGCCUCCAUCCCUGAGGCUUCUGCCUCACCCUCCUAUCUGGCCAGGGAGGCUCUUGUCCCACUUGUCUGGCUGUUAUGUGGUUUGCACUGAGCUGCUCUGAUAAGGAAAUUCCCCUCCUCUGCUAAUUCCUGCCUCUAGUCAGUUUGUGCUCUCUCCAGAAAAGCAACCAGGCUACCUUUCUUCUCCUCCUGGCUUGGACUCUGGCAACCCAACCUUUCAGACAGGUGAUACACAUUUUUUCCUCACCUGUAACAGAACCCUUGGGUCCUUCUGUUUAAUUUAAUCUGUCACGACCUCCCUAACAGACUUGGAUAUAGUCUCUUUGAGUACACAGCUGGGAGAGUCCCAGGAACUUGGUCAAGGUCUAUGGCUGGGGCUGGGGUUGUGGCUCAGCGGUAGAGCACUCGCCUAGCCUUGUGCAAGGCCCUGGGCUCAAUCCUCAGCACCACAAAUAAAUAAAGAUCUUAUGGCUGAGUUGGGGACUGAAGGUCUUCAGGCUUCCACUGCUCCAGAAUAAACAUUUCUCCUUAAUCA